rnacentral:lncRNA from 10 species
GUCUGACUACCAUCAACUAAACUGGCCUCAAUUUCUCCUCCUGCUGAGUCUGAGGACCAACAAAAAGCACUAGAGACUACAAGAACACAAAUAGGAAUGGAAGGAUCCAAGGCUGAAUUCUGCAGUUUUUGGCUUCAUUCCAACUUGAAUUUAUAUAGAAUAUUUUCAAUCUGUGGUUGGUUGAAUCCACAGAUGCAAAACCCACAGACGUGAGGGCUGAUUCUACGUGCAAACUGGCCACAAAAGUCCUGGCUGUCUUCAAAGCUGCAUCCUAACGAGGGCAGAGUACCUGGUACAAUGAAUCUGAUUGUAAUUUACAAGAAAAUCACCUCUACUGCCUACAAUAUGUUACCUCAUUUGUUUCCCAGUUCCUAAUUUGUACCCUUAGAUUCUUAGACCAUAAAGUAUUUCCUGAAGGAAUAGAGGGCUCCAAGUGGGAUGAUUUGAGUAGUUCAUUUUGGUGGCUUUUGUUAUGGAAAUAUGUGAGGAUGGUUGAACUUUAGUACUGAUUUUUCAUUCACAUGACAAGAAUGCCUACAUAAAUCAUGUUGCUCUCCCAUUUAAGUAAUUACUAGGUUUGAAGCCAGUUAAAACAAAUGAUAGAAGAUAUUUUAGGUUAAACAACAUGGUUUUGCUUUCAUUGACAUCAACCAUAAUAGGCCUAAAAAUAUAAGUGCAGAAAAGCAUGUUAGUAUCUUUUAUUUCUUUCAAGUAUAUUCAUUUAGUUGACUUUUUCAAAUAUAUUUUAGCUUAUUUUGCCUUCUGAUAAGAAUAGGACAAUUGAAGAAAAGGUUUUCUCACUUCCUUAACAUUAUGAAAGAAUUUUAUUUUGGAAUUGCCUGAGAGGUAAAUGGAAAAUAUGCUCAGUUGGCCCAAAUUCUUUAUUAAACAACAUUAUAAGUGAAAAUCUGUUUUCCCUGCUAUUAUCUGAGUGCUAUGCUUAAAGAAACAAAUAAACAUCCUGACAGUUGACAGACAGGAAAUAUGUUUUGUUUCCUUUUUUAUUCCGGCUUCAUUAUUUUCCAUGGAGAUGGAUUCUUGAAGCGACAGGCUGUGUUCAUUUCAGUUCAACUGUUCAUUGACUUAUGCAACAUAUCAAAUUCCUUACCAAAGUGAAAAAAAAAAAAAGCAGAAUGAAAUUUAGCUAUGAUUCAACCAGAGAAAUUUACAUGUUGGGCAAGGAUUCUUGUUAUUUAAAGAUAAAGGCAUUUUUGAAAGUCCACUGAAAAAUGGCUAAAAUUUUUCUAAUUCUGGUUUGGUGAUAUAUCCUAUUAAUCUGCCACCACUUAUUAAUGGCACUCAUAAUUUAAAGCCCUCUAACACUGGCACCUCACAUCUCAUUAAGGUAUCUCCUCCCAUUCUUCCUGCAAACAUGACAUUUAGGAGACCAUUAUAUGACUU